rnacentral:rRNA from 1 species
AUUGAACGCUGGCGGCAGGCCUAACACAUGCAAGUCGAACGGUAACAGGAAACAGCUUGCUGUUUCGCUGACGAGUGGCGGACGGGUGAGUAAUGUCUGGGAAACUGCCUGAUGGAGGGGGAUAACUACUGGAAACGGUAGCUAAUACCGCAUAACGUCGCAAGACCAAAGAGGGGGACCCUCGGGCCUCUUGCCAUCGGAUGUGCCCAGAUGGGAUUAGCUUGUUGGUGGGGUAACGGCUCACCAAGGCGACGAUCCCUAGCUGGUCUGAGAGGAUGACCAGCCACACUGGAACUGAGACACGGUCCAGACUCCUACGGGAGGCAGCAGUGGGGAAUAUUGCACAAUGGGCGCAGGCCUGAUGCAGCCAUGCCGCGUGUAUGAAGAAGGCCUUCGGGUUGUAAAGUACUUUCAGCGGGGAGGAAGGGAGUAAAGUUAAUACCUUUGCUCAUUGACGUUACCCGCAGAAGAAGCACCGGCUAACUCCGUG